rnacentral:rRNA from 1 species
UUAAGUUAUUAAGGGCACACGGUGGAUGCCUUGGUACGGGAAGUUGAUGAAGGACGUGACUACCUGCGAUAAGCCACGGAUAGGUGGAAAUAACCCAAUACCCGUGGAUUUCCGAAUGGGGCAACCCAUCCCAAGUAAUGUUGGGAUAUCCACAACUGAAUUCAUAGGUUGUGUGAAAACAACUCAGCGAACUGAAACAUCUAAGUAGCUGAUGGAAAAGAAAACAAUAGUGAUUUCCUGAGUAGUGGCGAGCGAAAGGGAAAUAGCCUAAACCGUCUAACGUGUUAAAGGAAGUAACCGUUGCGUUAGCGGGGUCGUGGGGCAUAUUUUGGCUGAAUUACUAAUAAGCCGAAGAGUAAAAAAUCAUUUUGUUAGCUGAAUGUUCUGGAAAGUUCAACCAUAGAGGGUGAAAGUCCUGUAAGCGAAAACAUUAUGACUCUUCUAAUAUGUUCCCAAGUACCACGAAGUAAGUGGAAUUUUGUGGGAAUUUGCCAGAACCAUCUGGUAAGGCUAAAUACUCUCCCGUAACCGAUAGUGAAUAAGUACCGUGAGGGAAAGGUGAAAAGUACUCCUUAUAGGAGAGUGAAAUAGUACCUGAAACCGUGUGCUUACAAGCAGUAGGAGUCCCGAUUUAUCGGGAUGACUGCGUGCCUUUUGGAUAAUGAGCCAACGAGUUACUCGUAUGUUGCAAGGUUAAUCCCUUAAGCGGAGAAGCCGUAGCGAAAGCAAGUCUUAAUCGGGCGAUUGAAGUAACAUGCGGUAGACGCGAAACCGGGUGAGCUACCCUUGUCCAGGAUGAAGUGAGGGUAAAACCUCAUGGAGGUCCGAACCAGUGUGGGUUGAAAACCGCUUGGAUGAGGUGAGGGUAGGGGUGAAAGGCCAAUCAAACCCGGAAAUAGCUCGUAUUCCUCGAAAUAGCUUUAGGGCUAGCCUCGAGUUAAAGUGUAACGGAGGUAGAGCACUGAUUGGGCUAGGGCUGUCACAACGGUACCAAACCCAGACAAACUCCGAAUUCCGUAUACAUGUUUCUCGGGAGUCAGGCAGUGAGGGAUAAGCUUCAUUGCCGAGAGGGGAACAACCCAGACCACCAACUAAGGUCCCCAAAUGGUAGUUAACAGAGAAAGGAUGUUAAGUUGCUCUGACAACUAGGAUGUUGGCUUAGAAGCAGCCAUUCAUUUAAAGAGUGCGUAAUAGCUCACUAGUCAAGCGACUUGGCGUCGACAAUACUCGGGACUUAAACUACCUACCGAAGUUGUGGGAUUCUGACUCGUCAGGAUCGGUAGAGGAACAUUCUAUAUGCGCUGAAGGCAAACUGCGAGGUUUUCUGGAGCGUAUAGAAAAGCAAAUGUUGGCAUAAGUAACGAUAAACCAGAUGAGAAAUCUGGUCACCGAAAGUCUAAGGUUUCCUGAGCAAUGCUAAUCAUCUCAGGGUUAGUCGGUCCCUAAGCCGAGGCCGAAAGGCGUAGGCGAUGGAUAACAGGUUAAUAUUCCUGUACCUGGUAAAUUUUGUUCGACCGCAAGGAGGGACGCAGGAGUGAAGAUCAGCCACCUGUUGGAUUAGGUGGUCUAAGCAAGUAGGCCGAAAGUGUAGGCAAAUCCGCACUUUCUUAAAGCCGAGAUGCGAACGGGAGUCCGUAGGACAUAAACUGAUCGUAAACAUACUGCCAAGAAAAUCUUCGUGCGGGAGAAAUUUAUUAGACCGUACCGCAAACCGACACAGGUAGACAGGAUGAGUAUUCUAAGGUGCUCGAGUGAGCCGUGGUUAAGGAACUCGGCAAAUUCACCCCGUAACUUCGGGAGAAGGGGUGCCCCCGGUAGGUGAAACUCUUCGCGAGUUUAGCUGAAAGGGGCCGCAGUGAAAAGGCCCAGGCGACUGUUUAACAAAAACACAUGUCUCUGCGAAGUCAAUUAAGACGAUGUAUAGGGACUGACACCUGCCCGGUGCUGGAAGGUUAAGAGGAGAGGUUAUCCCUUCGGGGAGAAGCUUUGAAUCGAAGCCCCAGUAAACGGCGGCCGUAACUAUAACGGUCCUAAGGUAGCGAAAUUCCUUGUCGGGUAAGUUCCGACCU